UACGUAGGUGGCGAGCGUUGUCCGGAUUUACUGGGCGUAAAGAGCGCGCAGGCGGCUGGUCGAGUCCGAUGUGAAAGCUCCCGGCUUAACUGGGAAAUUGCAUCGGAAACUGAUCGGCUGGAAGGUGGGAGAGGGUAGCGGAAUUCCCGGUGUAGUGGUGAAAUGCGUAGAUAUCGGGAGGAACACCAGUGGCGAAAGCGGCUACCUGGCCCAUUCUUGACGCUGAGGCGCGAAAGCUAGGGGAGCAAACGGG
rnacentral:rRNA from 1 species